rnacentral:tRNA from 1 species
UACUAAAGGAUAAUAGCAUUCCACUGGUCUUAGGCACCACAAUCCUUGGUGCAAUCAAGCUUAUCGAUACCG